CGCAAGAACGUCAAGUCACACUGACCACUGCUGUAAAUCUGUCGCAGACGAAGACACCCGCUGAAAUAUUUUGAUCACUGGUGCUCCAGUCCGGUCUCAAGAUGAGAGCUAUGCUAUGCCUCCUGUUGGUCGCCGUUGUGCUUACCGCUCAGAACUUGGUGACGGCUGCUGUCGCUCUCAGGAAACAACCUCCGAGUCCUUUAUGGAAAUGAGCACAAAUUCCUUCCGUUCAAAAGAGCAUAUAUAUCACAUGUAUUUGAUUUUCUACAGA